rnacentral:siRNA from 1 species
UGGAAACUACCAAUGGGGUUGCUC